CUGAGGUGGAAGUGUGGCGACACAUGGAGCUGACAGAUACUAAUCGAUCGAGGACUUAACCUAAUUU
rnacentral:rRNA from 1 species